rnacentral:rRNA from 1 species
GACGAACGCUGGCGGCGUGCAUAACACAUGCAAGUCAAGGGGGCCAGCAAUGGCAACCGGCGAACGGGUGCGUAACACGUGAGCAAUCUGCCUCUGUAUGGGGCAUAGCCGGCCUAACGGCCGGGUAAUUCCGCAUACGAUCUUUUAGGGACAUCCCUGAUUGAUGAAACGCUUCGGCGGUACAGAGAGGAGCUCGCGGCCUAUCAGCUAGUUGGUGAGGGAAUGGCCCACCAAGGCAACGACGGGUAGCUGGUCUGAGAGGAUGGCCAGCCACAUUGGGACUGAGAUACGGCCCAGACUCCUACGGGAGGCAGCAGUGGGGAAUCUUGCGCAAUGGCCUAACGGCUGACGCAGCGACGCCGCGUGAGGGAUGAAGCUUUCGGAGUGUAAACCUCUGUUGCCCGGGACGAAUAGCGGAUUAUUCCGACUUGACGGUACCGGGUGAGGAAGCACCGGCUAACUCCGU